rnacentral:rRNA from 1 species
UACGUAGGUGGCAAGCGUUGUCCGGAUUUAUUGGGGUUAAAGGGUGCGUAGGCGGCCCUGUAAGUCAGUGCUGAAAUAUCCCGGCUUAACCGGGAGGGUGGCAUUGAUACUGCAGGGCUUGAGUAAAGUUGAGGUUGGCGGAAUUGACGGUGUAGCGGUGAAAUGCUUAGAUAUCGUCAAGAACACCUAUUGCGUAGGCAGCUAACUAAGCUUUAACUGACGCUGAGGCACGAAAGUGUGGGGAUCAAACAGG